rnacentral:rRNA from 1 species
AACGAACGCUGGCGGCAUGCCUAACACAUGCAAGUCGAACGAGAUCUUCGGGUCUAGUGGCGCACGGGUGCGUAACGCGUGGGAAUCUGCCCUUUGGUUCGGAAUAACAGUUGGAAACGACUGCUAAUACCGGAUGAUGACGAAAGUCCAAAGAUUUAUCGCCAGAGGAUGAGCCCGCGUAGGAUUAGCUAGUUGGUGUGGUAAAGGCGCACCAAGGCGACGAUCCUUAGCUGGUCUGAGAGGAUGAUCAGCCACACUGGGACUGAGACACGGCCCAGACUCCUACGGGAGGCAGCAGUGGGGAAUAUUGGACAAUGGGCGAAAGCCUGAUCCAGCAAUGCCGCGUGAGUGAUGAAGGCCUUAGGGUUGUAAAGCUCCUUUACCCGGGAUGAUAAUGACAGUACCGGGAGAAUAGGCUCCGGCUAACUCCGUGCCAGCCGCCGCAGUAA